rnacentral:rRNA from 1 species
UGGGGAAUAUUGCACAAUGGGCGCAAGCCUGAUGCAGCCAUGCCGCGUGUAUGAAGAAGGCCUUCGGGUUGUAAAGUACUUUCAGCGGGGAGGAAGGGAGUAAAGUUAAUACCUUUGCUCAUUGACGUUACCGGCAGAAGAAGCACGGGCAAACUCGGUGCCAGCAGCCGCGGUAAUACGGAGGGUGCAAGCGUUAAUCGGAAUUACUGGGCGUAAAGCGCACGCAGGCGGUUUGUUAAGUCAGAUGUGAAAUCCCCGGGCUCAACCUGGGAACUGCAUCUGAUACUGGCAAGCUUGAGUCUCGUAGAGGGGGGUAGAAUUCCAGGUGUAGCGGUGAAAUGCGUAGAGAUCUGGAGGAAUACCGGUGGCGAAGGCGGCCCCCUGGACAAAGACUGACGCUCAGGUGCGAAAGCGUGGGGAGCAAACAGG